CUGUGGCACACUGGGUUUUAACUUCAGUUGACAGCCACCAAUUGUGUAUCUCGAAAUAGCUCGAGAGAGGAUCUGAAUAUUCCUAACACAAAGAAAGAAAUGAUAAACGUUUGAGGUGAUAGAUAUGCCAUUUACCGUGAUCCGAUCCUCACACACCAUCACUCGAUACCCCAUACAUACGUGCAAUUACCGUGUCAAUGAAAAAAUCAAGAAUUUUGAAAGUCUAAGAAAAACCAAGAAAUCAUCUGCCUUUGUAGACCAAGAAAUUUAAGCUGGACCCCACUGGCCAAAGAAAUUGUCCAAACGUGGAUCUUUCUACCAAGGCUUCUAUUUUGUUCAAGGCGACAUUGGAUGACCAGUUACCAAAAGAGGAAAUGAGCAUGAGUGUCACCUAGGAAGGUAGAAAUGGAGCACCCCAGUACUGGGCACUGCAGGAGUCGUGACAGUAGAGACAGGAGGGGGGCACCUGGGCCAUCUCCCACCCUAUUUCCUGAGCCAUGGGGAGAGCAGAAAUUAGGAGUCCACGCCCACAUUCCCGCCUCUGGGCUCUCCGCACAGACACAGAGCGUGUGGGAAUAGAUGGCCAGCUCCAUGGCUCUCCAGGCCCCAGGGCCCUUUCUUACCUCACAUGACCUUUUUCUUCCUUUUCAUCGGCUCUUACCCAGGACUUGGACCCUGUGGCUAUCUUGCUUGGCAC
rnacentral:lncRNA from 1 species